rnacentral:rRNA from 1 species
UACGUAGGGGGCUAGCGUUGUCCGGAAUCAUUGGGCGUAAAGAGCGUGUAGGCGGCCCGGUAAGUCCGCUGUGAAAGUCGGGGGCUCAACCCUCGAAUGCCGGUGGAUACUGUCGGGCUAGAGUGCGGAAGAGGCGAGUGGAAUUCCUGGUGUAGCGGUGAAAUGCGCAGAUAUCAGGAGGAACACCAAUUGCGAAGGCGGCUCACUGGCCCGGUACUGACGCUGAGGUGCGAAAGCGUGGGGAGCAAACAGG